AUGAACGCUGGCGGCGUGCCUAAUACAUGCAAGUCGAGCGAACAGACGAGGAGCUUGCUCCUCUGACGUUAGCGGCGGACGGGUGAGUAACACGUGGAUAACCUACCUAUAAGACUGGGAUAACUUCGGGAAACCGGAGCUAAUACCGGAUAAUAUAUUGAACCGCAUGGUUCAAUAGUGAAAGACGGUUUUGCUGUCACUUAUAGAUGGAUCCGCGCCGCAUUAGCUAGUUGGUAAGGUAACGGCUUACCAAGGCAACGAUGCGUAGCCGACCUGAGAGGGUGAUCGGCCACACUGGAACUGAGACACGGUCAAGACUCCUACGGGAGGCAGCAGUAGGGAAUCUUCCGCAAUGGGCGAAAGCUUGACGGAGCAACGCCGCGUGAGUGAUGAAGGUCUUCGGAUCGUAAAACUCUGUUAUUAGGGAAGAACAAAUGUGUAAGUAACUAUGCACGUCUUGACGGUACCUAAUCAGAAAGCCACGGCUAACUACGUG
rnacentral:rRNA from 1 species